rnacentral:rRNA from 1 species
UACGUAGGGUGCAAGCGUUAAUCGGAAUUACUGGGCGUAAAGCGUGCGCAGGCGGUUGUGCAAGACAGAUGUGAAAUCCCCGGGCUCAACCUGGGAACUGCAUUUGUGACUGUACGGCUAGAGUGUGUCAGAGGGGGGUAGAAUUCCACGUGUAGCAGUGAAAUGCGUAGAGAUGUGGAGGAAUACCGAUGGCGAAGGCAGCCCCCUGGGAUAACACUGACGCUCAUGCACGAAAGCGUGGGGAGCAAACAGG